rnacentral:rRNA from 1 species
GACGAACGCUGGCGGCGUGCUUAACACAUGCAAGUCGAACGAAGUGGCGAACGGGUGAGUAACGCGUAAUCAACCUGCCCUUCAGAGGGGGACAACAGUUGGAAACGACUGCUAAUACCGCAUCCUUAGGGAGGGGAUUGCGUCUGCUUAGCAAGUUGGGGGGGUAACGGCCCACCAAGGCGAUGAUCAGGAGCCGGUCUGAGAGGAUGAACGGCCACAUUGGGACUGAGACACGGCCCAGACUCCUACGGGAGGCAGCAGUGGGGAAUCUUCCGCAAUGGACGAAAGUCUGACGGAGCAACGCCGCGUGAGUGAUGACGGCCUUCGGGUUGUAAAGCUCUGUUAAUCGGGACGCGGUACCGGAAUAGAAAGCCACGGCUAACUACGUGCCAGCCGCCGCGGUAAUUC